rnacentral:rRNA from 1 species
AGCAGCCGCGGUAAUUCCAGCUCCAAUAGCGUAUAUUAAAGUUGUUGCAGUUAAAAGCUCGUAGUUGAAUUUCGGGGUCAGUAAGUUGGUCGUGCCACUGGUAUGUACUGGCUUUACUGAUUCCUCCUUCUUGUAGAACUGUGAUGUCAUUAAUUUGGUGUUGCAGGGAAACAGGACUGUUACUUUGAAAAAUUGAGUGUUUAAAGCAGGCUAACGCUUGAAUACAUUAGCAUGGAAUAAUGAAAUAGGACGUUUCGAUUCUAUUUUGUUGGUUUCUAGGAUUGACGUAAUGAUUAAUAGGGAUAGUUGGGGGCAUUAGUAUUCAAUUGUCAGAGGUGAAAUUCUUGGAUUUAUUGAAGACUAACUACUGCGAAAGCAUUUGCCAAGGAUGUUUUCAUUAAUCAAGAACGAAAGUUAGGGAUCGA